rnacentral:rRNA from 1 species
GAUGAACGCUGGCGGCGUGCCUAAUACAUGCAAGUCGAGCGAACAGACGAGGAGCUUGCUCCUCUGACGUUAGCGGCGGACGGGUGAGUAACACGUGGAUAACCUACCUAUAAGACUGGGAUAACUUCGGGAAACCGGAGCUAAUACCGGAUAAUAUAUUGAACCGCAUGGUUCAAUAGUGAAAGACGGUUUUGCUGUCACUUAUAGAUGGAUCCGCGCCGCAUUAGCUAGUUGGUAAGGUAACGGCUUACCAAGGCAACGAUGCGUAGCCGACCUGAGAGGGGGAUAGGCCACACGGGAACUGAGACACGGUCCAGACUCCUAAGGGAGGGAGCAGUAGGGAAUCUGCCGCAAUGGGCGGAAGCCUUGCGGAGCAACGCCGCGUGAGUGAUGAAGGUCUUCGGAUCGUAAAACUCUGUUAUUAGGGAAGAACAAAUGUGUAAGUAACUAUGCACGUCUUGACGGUACCUAAUCAGAAAGCCACGGCUAACUACGUG